UCUCGAUAGAGUAAAAGUUAACUAAAAUUUAUAUGGAUUGGGAACGUUUGCCUACGUUUGUCGCCAGGGGCGCUGUUCCAACUUCAUACAAAUGUGAGUUAGCUUUCACGCUAUCGA
rnacentral:pre_miRNA from 9 species